UUAGUACUCCCUCCGUUCGGAAUUACUUGUCUCGAAAAUGGAUGUAUCUAGAACUAAAAUAUGUCUAGAUACAUCCAUUUCUUCGACAAGUAAUUCAGAACGGAGGGAGUACAUG
rnacentral:pre_miRNA from 1 species